UACGAGUGCCCCGAGCGUUAUCCGGAUUUAUUGGGUUUAAAGGGUGCGUAGGCGGCCUAUUAAGUCAGGGGUGAAAGACGGUAGCUUAACUAUCGCAGUGCCUUUGAUACUGAUGGGCUUGAAUGAACUAGAGGUAGGCAGAAUGUGACAAGUAGCGGUGAAAUGCAUAGAUAUGUCACAGAACACCAAUUGCGAAGGCAGCUUACUAUGGUUUUAUUGACGCUGAGGCACGAAAGCGUGGGGAUCAAACAGG
rnacentral:rRNA from 1 species